AUUGAACGCUGGCGGCAGGCUUAACACAUGCAAGUCGAGCGGAGUGAUGGUGCUUGCACUAUCACUUAGCGGCGGACGGGUGAGUAAUGCUUAGGAAUCUGCCAUUUAGUGGGGGACAACAUUCCGAAAGGAAUGCUAAUACCGCAUACGUCCUACGGGAGAAAGCAGGGGAUCUUCGGACCUUGCGCUAAAUGAUGAGCCUAAGUCGGAUUAGCUAGUUGGUGGGGUAAGGCCUACCAAGGCGACGAUCUGUAGCGGGUCUGAGAGGAUGAUCCGCCACACGGGGACUGAGACACGGCCCAGACUCCUACGGGAGGCAGCAGUGGGGAAUAUUGGACAAUGGGCGGAAGCCUGAUCCAGCCAUGCCGCGUGUGUGAAGAAGGCCUUUUGGUUGUAAAGCACUUUAAGCGAGGAGGAGGCUACUAGUACUAAUACUACUGGAUAGUGGACGUUACUCGCAGAAUAAGCACCGGCUAACUCUGUGCCAGCAGCCGCAGUAAUAC
rnacentral:rRNA from 1 species